AUUCUUUUGUAUUUCAUAAGCGUGAUGAUUGUGUUUUUGCGCUCAUGUAUGAGGUACGCCUCCCUCAAACUUUGUGUCAAGGUCAGUACAUUACCCUUUCUGAUG
ensembl:snoRNA